rnacentral:misc_RNA from 1 species
GAUGAAGAACGUAGCGAAAUGCGAUAAUUAAUGUGAAUUGCAGAAUUCCGUGAAUCAUCGAGUCUUUGAACGCACAUUGCGCCUCAUGGCAUUCCGUGAGGCAUGCCCAUCUCAGCGUUAGAAAAUAUUCUCAAAUUUUAGUUUUGUGCUAAAAUUUGGAUCAUGUCAAGGAAGCUAUUACUAUUAUUGUGAUCGCUCUUUGGAAAUUGAUAGGUCUUUGAGUUGCUACUCAUAGAACGUGAUGAAUCUUUCUUCGUUCUAUUGUAAUUCACUCUGGUAGUCCGAAAACUUGUAUGCCUGUGGCAUAUCUUGUAAUUUGACCUGAGAUUGGGUAGGGAUACCCGCUGAACUUAAGCAUAUCAAUAAGCGGAGGA